rnacentral:misc_RNA from 1 species
CAGCCAAACGCAAGUGUGAAACAGAUGGCACAGCGCAUCCGUUGCCACGUAAGCUUGCAACUGUAAAAGAAACUAUGCUUCUUCAUUAAUCUUUCUUAAUUACUAAAUUAUUUAAUUAUCCACACUGUUAGUUAAUUAAUCACCAUUACUGAGCAAACAUAGAUUCUUAAUCCCACAGGUCAAAUCUACAUUCUCUCUAAUCUCAACAGUUAUCCUUCCCUUCCUCCAUUUCUGCAACUUCCUUUGAUCUCUCUCUCUCUCUCUCUGUUU